CAAACUCGAUAAAAAUAUGUCCAUCCAUUUUUUUGUCAGUGUUUGGUUUAGGAAUUAUGUGUCUAAAAAAAGUCAUUUCAAAACGUCACCAUUUGUGAUGUCACAAGGACGAAAAUCAGAAUUGAAUAACCUCUCACUUGCAAGAAACAAACAUAACCUGACGAGCCAUUUGUUCCCUUUAGAACCCGUCACCUCACCCCCGAUGGAUGGAGUCGGAUCCUCAGGUUUCAGCUGGAGCUACAUCAUUCUUCAGGCUCUGAUUUGUUUGUCUGUAGGAUAAAACAACUGUAAGACAGGCACUUACCAGCUGUAGUUUAACAACAAAAACGCUGGAACUGUAGGAAAAAGGUUCAACUGAGUCUUGAAUAAAAACUGCUGUGAUGAAAA